GACGAACGCUGGCGGCGUGCCUAACACAUGCAAGUCGAGCGGAGUCAGUAAGAGGAAGUUUUCGGAUGGAAUCUUAUUGAUUUAGCGGCGGACGGGUGAGUAACGCGUGAGCGACCAACCUUGCACAGGGGGAUAACGGACCGAAAGGUUCACUAAUACCGCAUGAGACCACGGUGUUGCAUGACACAGGGGUCAAAGGAGCAAUCCGGUGCAAGACGGGCUCGCGUCCGAUUAGGUAGUUGGAGGGGUAACGGCCCACCAAGCCUAUGAUCGGUAGACGACCUGAGAGGGUGAUCGGCCACAUUGAAAGUGAGAUACAGUCCAAACUCCUACGGGAGGCAGCAGUGGGGAAUAUUGGGCAAUGGGGGAAACCCUGACCCAGCAACGCCGCGUGAAGGAAGAAGGUUUUCGGAUUGUAAACUUCUGUCCUUGGUGAAGAGAAGAAGACGGUAGCCAAGGAGGAAGCCCCGGCUAACUACGUGCCAGCCGCCGCUGUAA
rnacentral:rRNA from 1 species